CCAAUAGCGUAUAUUAAAGUUGUUGCAGUUAAAAAGCUCGUAGUUGAAUUUCGGGAUCAAGGAAUCGGUCAUGCCUCGGUAUGUACUGGUUUUAUUGGUUCUCACCUUCUAAAGGACCAUGAUGUCAUUCAUUUGAUGUUAUGGGGAAUUAGGACUGUUACCUUGAAAAAAUUAGAGUGUUUAAAGCAAGCUUACGCUUGAAUACAUUAGCAUGGAAUAAUGAAAUAGGACAUCCGAUUCUAUUUUGUUGGUUUGUAGGAUCGAUGUAAUGAUUAAUAGGGAUAGUCGGGGGAAUUAGUAUUCAAUUGUCAGAGGUGAAAUUCUUGGAUUUAUUGAAGACUAACUACUGCGAAAGCAUUUGCCAAGGAUGUUUUCAUUAAUCAAGAACGGAAGUUAGGGGAUCGAAGACGAUCAGAUACCGUCGUAGUCUUAACCAUAAACUAUGCCGACUAGGGAUCGGAUGAUGUUUAUUUUUUAGUGACUCAUUCGGCACCUUACG
rnacentral:rRNA from 1 species